rnacentral:rRNA from 1 species
GACAGAGGAUGCAAGCGUUACUCCGGAAUGAUUGGGCGUAAAGCGUCUGUAGGUGGCUUUUUAAGUCCGCCGUCAAAUCCCAGGGCUCAACCCUGGACAGGCGGUGGAAACUACCAAGCUGGAGUACGGUAGGGGCAGAGGGAAUUUCCGGUGGAGCGGUGAAAUGCGUAGAGAUUGGAAAGAACACCGAUGGCGAAGGCACUUUUACUGGGCUAUUACUAACACUCAGAGACGAAAGCUAGGGUAGCAAAUGG